CAACCCUCAAGCCCCGGCUUGGUGUUGGGCCCCGCCCCCCGUGGCCAGCCCCAAAGACAGUGGCGGCGCCGCCUGGCCCUCAGCGUAGUACGUCUCUCGCUCCAGGGCCUGGCAGCGGCCGGCCAGAACCCCCCCACCUGUGG
rnacentral:misc_RNA from 1 species